UAUAAAGAUAGCCAAAUAGGUAAGAACUCAUGUCGGUUGUAAACAUCUGUUCGCAACAUCAAUCGGUCACAAAUCCUUGUCAGCAACCUCAUCCUCGUCACUAUCCCAACAACUAUGACAAAGGCAUCUCUCAUGGGAAACUAGUCUUCGCUUCUAGAGAAGGAAACCAAAUCAAAACAUUUGCAUGCAAUACAUGAGGUAAGCUUCUUAAAUGUACAUUCCAGGGAGAUGGACUUCACAAAUAACAGAGGAAAGCUAGUUUUCCAAGCCUAACCUAUAAAUUGCGCAGGUAAAAAUGGGUCAUAUAGAUGCUUCGUCGAGGUCUACCAUGUACCUCGGGGCCACAAAGCCCUUGAUCCCAUGCGAGAGAAAGUCUUAGUACAGAGAUAUGUGCAGACGAUGAGUGAAGAAAAG